GACGAACGCUGGCGGCGUGCAUAAUACAUGCAAGUAGAACGCUGAAGAGAGGAGCUUGCUCUUCUUGGAUGAGUUGCGAACGGGUGAGUAACGCGUAGGUAACCUGCCUUGUAGCGGGGGAUAACUAUUGGAAACGAUAGCUAAUACCGCAUAACAAUGGAUGACACAUGUCAUUUAUUUGAAAGGGGCAAUUGCUCCACUACAAGAUGGACCUGCGUUGUAUUAGCUAGUAGGUGAGGUAACGGCUCACCUAGGCAACGAUACAUAGCCGACCUGAGAGGGUGAUCGGCCACACUGGGACUGAGACACGGCCCAGACUCCUACGGGAGGCAGCAGUAGGGAAUCUUCGGCAAUGGGGGCAACCCUGACCGAGCAACGCCGCGUGAGUGAAGAAGGUUUUCGGAUCGUAAAGCUCUGUUGUAAGUCAAGAACGAGUGUGAGAGUGGAAAGU
rnacentral:rRNA from 1 species